rnacentral:misc_RNA from 1 species
GCCGAAAGAAUGAGCAAGUAGCCUCUAGAGUUGCCAGGUCCUGUGGAUCUAAAUUACAUCCAGUAAGCACAUGAAGAACGAUAGACGGGUUAGCUGACAAUGGGAAUUCACCAGGAGUCGCAUUCCCAAAACAGUGCCUCACUUGUCUUUGAAAUGUUGAGUUUACAAUAGUAGCAGCAAUAGGUUGUUCAGCAAUGUUAUGGUAUUGAACACUCGAGGUUCCACUCGUCGAGGCGUCCAUGGGCACUGCUAGCUUCUGCAGUGCCCAAAUUAAGCAAUGGGAGGAUUUCUAAAUCACUUAAAUUAGAAGCUGAUCACAAAAAUUUCAAGCCUCAGACAUGAGAAAGAGCCCCAAAGAUUCCUCAAAACCCAUAUGAAUUUUUUCAAGAAAAUUAUGAUCAAACAAGAUGAGUAACUAAGUGGGUAUCAGAUCAAAAAGACUGAUCAAAGAUUUUUUUUUUCCACUUUUAUUUUUACUUUUUUGGAUAACAAUAUAAGCAGAAAAAUAGGUGAUUUGAUGGGAUGUUGUUUCUUGAAA